GGAGGCAUUAGUGUUCCUUUUCACAUGAAGAAUCCGAAGGGCAGAGAGCUGCAUUAACCUGCUGAGCAAACUCGACGGGAUGGAGCAGAGUGGAGAAUGAGCCAGUGUGCUGACUCUGCAUCCGGUUUUAUAGCGGAGACUCUAAGGAGACACGUGACCUCUCCGUGAGCGGCACGGAGAGAGCAAAAGUGAUUUGCUAAGUGACUGACAGGCAAUUUUUCCAGGAAACCACAGAACCAAGGAGCUUCCAUGUCCCCGCGUGGGAAGGUGACACUUGGCGGCACCUGCUCCUCCUGCUUGCGUGCACUGGGUGAGGGCACCCUGUGCAGAAUCAUGGGCGUCCUGAGGGCCUGCGUUGCACUCUGCCCUCUCCUGUGGAGAAGGAAGAACGUGACAACGGACCCUGGGACAGUCAUUCCAUCUAUAGCAGCUUGACCAGAAGAGCAAAGGGAAUGACUCAAAGGAAAAAGAGAGUGAAGAAAACUCCUCAAACCCACAGCUGUAAGUGGUCUAGGCCAGAAAGCUGCCGCUCAGCUGGAAUAAGAAAGAGCUUCUUUUCGGAUCUGGCUCAUGGACGACCCAGGGAUUCAUUGGCAGAUCAGCCUUGCAGGUGGGCUGCUGGGAAUGGCUUCCACAACCCAACGGUGUGUUUGCUCGUAACUGCCUUCAAGGCUGACCGUUUCACAAGCACUGCAUCUGUGUUAGCCUUCACCUCCAACUGCGGCCCCUCCUCCUGGUACUUACUGCUGGUCCUGGGGGGGUGUCGGACAGCUCGUGGUCGCUGAAGCCCCUUAGUGGGAAGGGCUGAGCUGGAUGUCCUGCAAUGCGCGGGACAGUCCCAAACAAUGAAGGAUGUUUUUCUUGAGUGUCCUACUGAACUAAUCCUACUCCAAAUGAAAAACUGUAGUGAAAAGUCUUGAAAAGCUUUGGUACGGCUGUUCCCAAGAGGUCCAGGAUGCGAGUUGGCUAUAGAG